rnacentral:rRNA from 1 species
CCGCGGGAUUAGAGUUUGAUCCUGGCUCAGGACGGACGCUGGCGGCGUGCCUAACACAUGCAAGUCGAACGAGGCUUAUCCGGUAGCAAUACCGGAGACUGCCUAGUGGCGAACGGGUGAGUAGCACGUGAGCAACCUGCCCCGAAGACUGGGAUAACACCGGGAAACCGGUGCUAAUACCAGAUGCCCCCACCGGAUCGCAUGAUCUGGUGAGGAAAUGGAUUCCGCUUCGGGAGGGGCUCGCGGCCUAUCAGCUAGUUGGUGAGGUAACGGCUCACCAAGGCUUCGACGGGUAGCUGGUCUGAGAGGACGAUCAGCCACACUGGGACUGAGACACGGCCCAGACUCCUACGGGAGGCAGCAGUGGGGAAUCUUGCACAAUGGGCGAAAGCCUGAUGCAGCAACGCCGCGUGAGGGACGAAGGCUUUCUGAGUUGUAAACCUCUUUCAGCAGGGACGAUUGUGACGGUACCUGCAGAAGAAGCCCCGGCCAACUACGUGCCAGCAGCCGCGGUAAUACGUAGGGGGCAAGCGUUGUCCGGAUUUAUUGGGCGUAAAGAGCUCGUAGGCGGCUUGGCAAGUCGGAUGUGAAACCUCCAGGCUCAACCUGGAGUCGCCAUUCGAUACUGCUAUGGCUUGAGUUUGGUAGGGGACCACGGAAUUCCUGGUGUAGCGGUGAAAUGCGCAGAUAUCAGGAGGAACACCAGCGGCGAAGGCGGUGGUCUGGGCCAAUACUGACGCUGAGGAGCGAAAGCGUGGGGAGCGAACAGGAUUAGAUACCCUGGUAGUCCACGCCGUAAACGUUGGGCACUAGGUGUGGGGACCUAUCGACGGUUUCUGUGCCGCAGCUAACGCAUUAAGUGCCCCGCCUGGGGAGUACGGCCGCAAGGCUAAAACUCAAAGGGAAUUGAC